CUCCUACGGGAGGCAGCAGUAGGGAAUCUUCGGCAAUGGGGGCAACCCUGACCGAGCAACGCCGCGUGAGUGAAGAAGGUUUUCGGAUCGUAAAGCUCUGUUGUAAGAGAAGAACGGGUGUGAGAGUGGAAAGUUCACACUGUGACGGUAUCUUACCAGAAAGGGACGGCUAACUACGUGCCAGCAGCCGCGGUAAUACGUAGGUCCCGAGCGUUGUCCGGAUUUAUUGGGCGUAAAGCGAGCGCAGGCGGUUUGAUAAGUCUGAAGUUAAAGGCUGUGGCCCAACCAUGGUUCGCUUUGGAAACUGUCAAACUUGAGUGCAGAAGGGGAGAGUGGAAUUCCAUGUGUAGCGGUGAAAUGCGUAGAUAUAUGGAGGAACACCGGUGGCGAAAGCGGCUCUCUGGUCUGUAACUGACGCUGAGGCUCGAAAGCGUGGGGAGCGAACAGGAUUAGAUACCCUGGUAGUCCACGCCGUAAACGAUGAGUGCUAGGUGUUGGGUCCUUUCCGGGAUUCAGUGCCGCAGCUAACGCAUUAAGCACUCCGCCUGGGGAGUACGACCGCAAGGUUGAAACUCAAAGGAAUUGACGGGGGCCCGCACAAGCGGUGGAGCAUGUGGUUUAAUUCGAAGCAACGCGAAGAACCUUACCAGGUCUUGACAUCCCGAUGCUAUUCCUAGAGAUAGGAAGUUUCUUCGGAACAUCGGUGACAGGUGGUGCAUGGUUGUCGUCAGCUCGUGUCGUGAGAUGUUGGGUUAAGUCCCGCAACGAGCGCAACCCCUAUUGUUAGUUGCCAUCAUUCAGUUGGGCACUCUAGCGAGACUGCCGGUAAUAAACCGGAGGAAGGUGGGGAUGACGUCAAAUCAUCAUGCCCCUUAUGACCUGGGCUACACACGUGCUACAAUGGUUGGUACAACGAGUUGCGAGUCGGUGACGGCAAGCUAAUCUCUUAAAGCCAAUCUCAGUUCGGAUUGUAGGCUGCAACUCGCCUACAUGAAGUCGGAAUCGCUAGUAAUCGCGGAUCAGCACGCCGCGGUGAAUACGUUCCCGGGUCUUGUACACACGC
rnacentral:rRNA from 1 species